GGAUGUGAGGGCGAUCUGGCUGCGACAUCUGUCACCCCAUUGAUUGCCAGGGUUGAUUCGGCUGAUCUGGCUGGCUAGGCGGGUGUCCCCUUCCUCCCUCACCGCUCCAUGUGCGUCCCUCCCGAAGCUGAGCUGCGUGCUUGGUCGAAGAGGAGGACCGAUGAGGACCAUUCUUCGGUCAAGGGUAUAGAGUAGCUGCGCUCCCCUGCUAGAACCUCCAAACAAGCUCUCAAGAAUGCUAGUAGGUGACUGACUUGGCCAUUGUUCCUCCCCAUGCAAGGCUUCUU
rnacentral:snRNA from 1 species